rnacentral:rRNA from 1 species
UACGGGGGGGGCAAGCGUUGUUCGGAAUUACUGGGCGUAAAGGGCGCGUAGGCGGUCUGCUAAGUUGGAUGUGAAAACUCUGGGCUUAACCCAGAGCCUGCAUUCAAUACUGACAGGCUAGAGUUCUGGAGGGGAUAGCGGAAUUCCUGGUGUAGCGGUGAAAUGCGUAGAUAUCAGGAGGAACACCGGUGGCGAAGGCGGCUAUCUGGACAGAGUCUGACGCUGAGGCGCGAAGGCCAGGGGAGCAAACGGG